UUGUUUCAGACUCUCAGCAGGAACAUGGAUGAAGCUGAUGUGAUUUAGGCGGAUGAAGUUCACAAGACCAAACACCAGAGAUCCCUUUUCUUCAGACAUUUCCACUAAUUUUGGAGUACGGAGAUAGCAACAAGCGAGACAGUGUCAAGCGUCCCCAGGAUGAAACCUCCACAGAGCUGUGAAAAAGGUAAGAACAUGAAUGUGGUGGAAAAUCAGCAGGUCGGUGUGGAGGAAGAUAAAUAAAAGAGUAACAAGGUGAAAAGCCACAUAAGUGUUUAUAGUUAAUUCAAUUCAAAAUACUUUAUUAAUCCCAAAGGGAAAUUAAAUGCUGGUGUAAAUCAUGUCACAGGGGUUUCUUCAACGGGUUG